GGGAUCAGUGAUCAGCGGCUGAGGGAAAAUGAUUGGCACCAUUGUAGAUACGACAGAUUUGGUUCCGAUGAUCUAGCUUCGACGGUGACGCCUCGGGUCGUAUUCCACCAUCUGUCACUUGGUUGUGAAUGGAGGAUCCUGAUUUGCGACGAGUUACCUUACGUGGG